UGGGGAAUAUUGGACAAUGGGCGAAAGCCUGAUCCAGCAAUGCCGCGUGAGUGAUGAAGGCCUUAGGGUUGUAAAGCUCUUUUACCCGGGAUGAUAAUGACAGUACCGGGAGAAUAAGCCCCGGCUAACUCCGUGCCAGCAGCCGCGGUAAUACGGAGGGGGCUAGCGUUGUUCGGAAUUACUGGGCGUAAAGCGUACGUAGGCGGCUUUGUAAGUUAGAGGUGAAAGCCCGGGGCUCAACUCCGGAAUUGCCUUUAAGACUGCAUCGCUUGAAUCAUGGAGAGGUGAGUGGAAUUCCGAGUGUAGAGGUGAAAUUCGUAGAUAUUCGGAAGAACACCAGUGGCGAAGGCGACGCACUGGACAUGUAUUGACGCUGAGGUACGAAAGCGUGGGGAGCAAACAGG
rnacentral:rRNA from 1 species